rnacentral:rRNA from 1 species
UACGAAGGGGGCUAGCGUUGUUCGGAAUUACUGGGCGUAAAGCGCACGUAGGCGGAAUGUUAAGUCAGGGGUGAAAUCCUGGAGCUCAACUCCAGAACUGCCCUUGAUACUGGCGGUCUCGAGUCCGGGAGAGGUGAGUGGAACUGCGAGUGUAGAGGUGAAAUUCGUAGAUAUUCGCAAGAACACCAGUGGCGAAGGCGGCUCACUGGCCCGGUACUGACGCUGAGGUGCGAAAGCGUGGGGAGCAAACAGG